GCCACUAGCGUGCAAGCCCGACCAUUUAAAUACCCGCCACAGGCGAGCACAAAGUAGUAGUUUUCGAUCGCGCUUCGCUUCAACUUCAUCUUCCGAUCCAGCCGACCUGCAGUCAGCACCAGCCACACCGCCGCUUAAGCCUAUGUCACAUUAUCAAACAGUUUGACAAACUGGUUUGAUCAAACUCGACUAGUGACGUCACCGAUGCAGUUUGAGCAAACUUCCUAUUUUUUAGAAGUGCCUCUAUUUCAAUCAGUCAGUUUGAUGUGAGCUGUGCUGUAAUUGGUUAGUUCAAGUAAGUUAAAAACGGCGCGAACGAAUUGAUUUCCGACGACGACCUACAUAACCUGAUUGUGUUGAUUAUUAGCUGCAACAAGUACUUUUUCGUUAUUGUUAAUUUGAAAUGACACCUGGAUGGAGCAAAGAACAAGUGUCCUUUUUGAUUGAUUUAUACCAGGAUAGAGACGGUCUCUAUAACGUUAAAAUGCCAAUGUACCACAAUAAACAAGGCAGGGGCACUUGAGGAAAUUGUGAGAAGUAUGCAGGAAGUUCGACCAAAAAUAACAACCAAUGAUGUUAAAACAAAAAUUAAUUCUUUGCGGACACAAUUUAACAAAGAAAUCGGUAAACUACGAGGCAAGCGGCAAGCCCAGUGGUGCUGGAGCAGAGGUUGUUAAAGUAAAUUUGAACAAUUGCUGUUCUUGGCAGACCAUUAUAGAGAAGGAAGACGAAAACUUAGACAAUACUCUAAUACCAGAAAUAGAUGGCUCAGCUGAGGAUGAAGAUGGCGCCAGCACAUCUGCAUCGGGUGAAAUACCAAUCCACCAAUCAAAACGAAAAGGUGCACCUCUACGCAAUCCUCCCUCUGGAAAAAGACGAGCAGAGAGUGAUGCUGCUCUUCCUGUGUUUGAAGAAAUUGGGAAUGCAAUAAAAAAAUUACUGGUGAGCAGGAUGAUCAAUGGGGAAUAUUUGGGAAAUUUGUAGCAGACAAAACAAAGGAUAUAGCAGAUGAAAAAAUUGGAAAACAGUGC